ACGUAGGGUCCGAGCGUUGUCCGGAAUUAUUGGGCGUAAAGGGCUCGUAGGCGGUUUGUCGCGUCGGGAGUGAAAACUCAGGGCUCAACCCUGAGCGUGCUUCCGAUACGGGCAAACUAGAGGUAUGCAGGGGAGAAUGGAAUUCCUGGUGUAGCGGUGGAAUGCGCAGAUAUCAGGAGGAACACCGGUGGCGAAGGCGGUUCUCUGGGCAUUACCUGACGCUGAGGAGCGAAAGCAUGGGGAGCGAACAG
rnacentral:rRNA from 1 species